rnacentral:rRNA from 1 species
UACGGAGGGUGCAAGCGUUAAUCGGAAUUACUGGGCGUAAAGCGUGCGUAGGCGGCUUGUUAAGUCAGAUGUGAAAGCCCCGGGCUCAACCUGGGAACUGCAUUUGAAACUGGCAAGCUAGAGUUUGGGAGAGGGGAGUGGAAUUUCAGGUGUAGCGGUGAAAUGCGUAGAGAUCUGAAGGAACACCAGUGGCGAAGGCGACUCCCUGGCCCAAAACUGACGCUCAUGCACGAAAGCGUGGGGAGCAAACAGG